rnacentral:tRNA from 1 species
UGGCUCAGUGGUUAAGAGCACUGCCUGCUCUUCCAGAGGGCCUGGGUUCAAUUCCCAG